CUUCUAGGGUUGCUAAAUUCACCUCUUCCCUUCCUCCAUCUGUGAGUUUUCUAAGAGUGUCUUACAUCUAAAACUCCUCCUACUUCUCAUCUUUGGAAGACUCUAAAUCAAGUAGAAGGAGGCAUUUGAUCGACCAUCAAAGAAGGAUUAGCACAGUACUAGCAUAUUGUGCUAAUUUUCUGGGCCAGGACUUCUGAUCGUGAUUCAUGGGCUCGUGUGGAUGACUCCU
rnacentral:lncRNA from 1 species